GAUGAACGCUGGCGGCGUGCCUAAUACAUGCAAGUCGGGCGAACGGACGAGAAGCUUGCUUCUCUGAUGUUAGCGGCGGACGGGUGAGUAACACGUGGAUAACCUACCUAUAAGACUGGGAUAACUUCGGGAAACCGGAGCUAAUGCCGGAUAAUAUUUUGAACCGCAUGGUUCAAAAGUGAAAGACGGUCUUGCUGUCACUUAUAGAUGGAUCCGCGCUGCAUUAGCUAGUUGGUAAGGUAACGGCUUACCAAGGCAACGAUGCAUAGCCGACCUGAGAGGGUGAUCGGCCACACUGGAACUGAGACACGGUCCAGACUCCUACGGGAGGCAGCAGUAGGGAAUCUUCCGCAAUGGGCGAAAGCCUGACGGAGCAACGCCGCGUGAGUGAUGAAGGUCUUCGGAUCGUAAAACUCUGUUAUUAGGGAAGAACAUAUGUGUAAGUAACUGUGCACAUCUUGACGGUACCUAAUCAGAAAGCCACGGCUAACUACGUG
rnacentral:rRNA from 1 species